GGAGGUGCCCCGGAUGGAAACGGCAGACCAUGGAAGUGGGAUGUGGAAGGUGGGAGAUGGAUGUGGAAGGGCCCAUCUCCCUCCUUGACUCCUCCCCUCUGUCUCUGCUUCCUGGCCCCCGGAAAUGAGCAACUUUCUUCCUCCCAGACUCUUUCCACUGUGCCGUUUUCCCCUUGGAGCUGACCAACCAUGGACUGAAAGUGUGAGCCAAGAUAAACCUCUCCACCUUUAAAUUGUGGGUGUUGGGUACUGUGCCCCAGUGACAAGAAAGUGACCAAGACACACAUGGUUACACACUGCUAUGUACUAAGAAGGAGAGAUCCGGAUACCAGACAGUGCAGACUCCUGUGCCGGACAGGGAGGUUUACAAUAUAGAACUACGAAAAGGAUAGAAGGAGGACUCUUGUCCAUUAAAAGUUUUUCUAUAAUUCAGAGCUGAAGAAAUGAAUCAGUGCCAUUGUUUUGCUGAAGGUCAAUACCAGAUAAUUCACAAAAAGAAAGAACACCCAGGAAAUCACAGGACAAGAUGCAAUUUCAGGUAUCCAGCUCAGCACCCAAACUAGUCACCAUUUAACUCUGGAAGCAAAGACCAGAAUGAACCCUCAUACAUUGUGCCAGUGCGGAUGAGCUUGGUAUCAUUCAUCUUUCUCAGAAAUAAUAAAAAUCCCAAUGCUAUGAGGAGCUAACUGUGCAAAGUUAUUUCUCCAUUUAUAACAGGAGUAUGAGAAGGAUUCAUAAUUCACCUGAUUUUGGAUGCACCCUCUGCCAAGACUAGAUUAUUCUGGGAAGAGAUCACAGUUGAAAACAAUGGUAAAAACUUCUUUAGUUUUAAAAUUAUGCUUAAUGCCAGAAAUGAGCCACACACAGGAUGAGUCGUCUGACUAUGGCUAGA
ensembl:lncRNA